AUACAUUAUAGUGAAUUCUCUCAGUCCCAUAUGAAUUGAAGCAGACAGAGGAGAGACACUGAGCUACAAUACCACAUAUGAAAAUACCAAACCUUAUCGAGACCACCACCCGGAAAGAUAAGCACAAUUUUUGAGGUUGGGAAGGUGAUUUCGAAAAUCGCCGCAAAAUCCGACUCGCUUCCUUCAGACCUCCGUCCCAAGCCCCUCCCCCCUCAACACAUGAACGCGCACAGCUGCCUGAGUCUGACUCUGACUGCGUCGGAGGAGGAAGACACGAGUGGACCACAACAUGCUAACUGACUGCUCGUGGCUCAUUCACAAGCCAGAACUCGAGGACUGAGCUUGGAGAAGUGACGUGACACGAGCCUGCUGCUUCACUUUCUACACCUCACAUCAGCAGAUGCUGCUCCACCGGCCGUCCCGUUGCAGGUCAACCUACUUGUGUCUGCCAGAACUGCCCACAGACAUGGAAGGAUAGUGCCGAGGGCAACUUCAUGACCCCCGUGUCCAGGCUGCCACAUAUGGAGGUUUACAUUUUGCACACAGUAUUUUGUGCAAUACCAAUGUUAAUUUAUGUUCUGUAUAACCUGCUCUAUAUUGUUGGAAUAAAAAUAUUUUAAAUGUU